ACCCACAAAAAAAAAUCUGCAUAUCUCUUUAACUUCACAGACCUUCAUCAAGAAAGAGGCAAAGGAGUGAAGCAGACGAAAUAUCAGAAGAAGAGCAACAGGAGGGAGAGCGAAGUGAAGUAGAAGAUCCUGAAGAAGUCGUGGCGGACGUCAGGGAAGAAUCCUUCAAGAGGCUGCUGAGAUGGUGUCCAGUGAGACUGGACCACCCACUUCCAUCACUGACGACUUGUAAAGACAUCAGUCAGCGCCAUGCUUAGUACUGUCAGGACAGAUGGCGAAGGAGACAGUACCAGAUGCGUAUAAGUGAGGCCGUCGAACACUUCAGGAGCCUUCCCACGGAAGAGAUGUUUGACAUCUACAUGGAGCAACAGAGCUGGACAAGCAACCUCCCCAAAGCUUGGGAUGUUCUAAAGGCUUGGAAACCUCCACAGUCGUGAAGAAAGCACGGACGCUUUCCGAACUUUGAGGCAAUGGUGGCCUCUCAGGACUGGGAAGGGCUAGUCGCCAUCGAGGACCAAGCGAAAGGGGAAUUCGCCUUAAAGACCACUCAAGUCUUUAAAAAAGGAGAGUUUGUCUGCGACUAUCAUGGAGUCUUGAUGGAUGGGAAAGAAGGAUAGGAGGUGCAGCGCUCCAUCACCGACGGGAAGUGCUACAUCUACUUCUUUAGGCACCAAGAAAAAAAAAUGUGUGUGAAUGCUACGAAGGCUCACCUACUGUACCCACAAAAAAAAAAGUCUGCAUAUCUCUUUAACUUCACAGACCUUCAUCAAGAAAGAGGCAAAGGAGUGAAGCAGACGAAAUAUCAGAAGAAGAGCAACAGGAGGGAGAGCGAAGUGAAGUAGAAGAUCCUGAAAAAGUCGUGGCGGACGUCAGGGAAGAAUCCUUCAAGAGGCUGCUGAGAUGGUGUCCAGUGAGACUGGACCACCCACUUCCAUCACUGACGACUUGUAAAGACAUCAGUCAGCGCCAUGCUUAGUACUGUCAGGACAGAUGGCGAAGGAGACAGUACCAGAUGCGUAUAAGUGACGCCGUCGAACACUUCAGGAGCCUUCCCACGGAAGAGAUGGUUGACAUCUACAUGGAGCGACAGAGCUGGACAAGCAACCUCCCCAAAGCUUGGGAUGUUCUAAAGGCUUGGAAACCUCCGCAGUCGUGAAGAAAGCACGGACGCUUUCCGAACUUUGAGGCAAAGGUGGCCUCUCAGGACUGGGAAGGGCUAGUCGCUGUCGAGGAUCAAGCGAAAGGGGGGAUUCGCCUUAAAGACCACUCAAGUCUUUAAAAAAGGAGAGUUUGUCUGCGACUAUCAUGGAGUCUUGAUGGAUGGGAAAGAAGGAUAGGUGCAGCGCUCCAUCACCGACGGGAAGUGCUACAUCUACUUCUUUAGGCACGAAGAAAAAAAAAUGUGUGUGAAUGCUACGAAGGCUCACCCACUGUACCCACAAAAAAAAAUCUGCAUAUCUCUUUAACUUCACAGACCUUCAUCAAGAAAGAGGCAAAGGAGUGAAGCAGACGAAAUAUCAGAAGAAGAGCAACAGGAGGGAGAGCGAAGUGAAGUAGAAGAUCCUGAAGAAGUCGUGGCGGACGUCAGGGAAGAAUCCUUCAAGAGGCUGCUGAGAUGGUGUCCAGUGAGACUGGACCACCCACUUCCAUCACUGACGACUUGUAAAGACAUCAGUCAGCGCCAUGCUUAGUACUGUCAGGACAGAUGACGAAGGAGACAGUACCAGAUGCGUAUAAGUGACGCCGUCGAACACUUCAGGAGCCUUCCCACGGAAGAGAUGGUUGACAUCUACAUGGAGCGACAGAGCUGGACAAGCAACCUCCCCAAAGCUUGGGAUGUUCUAAAGGCUUGGAAACCUCCGCAGUCGUGAAGAAAGCACAGACGCUUUCCGAACUUUGAGGCAAAGGUGGCCUCUCAGGACUGGGAAGGGCUAGUCGCCAUCGAGGACCAAGCGAAAGGGGAAUUCGCCUUAAAGACCACUCAAGUCUUUAAAAAAGGAGAGUUUGUCUGCGACUAUCAUGGAGUCUUGAUGGAUGGGAAAGAAGGAUAGGAGGUGCAGCGCUCCAUCACCGACGGGAAGUGCUACAUCUACUUCUUUAGGCACCAAGAAAAAAAAAUGUGUGUGAAUGCUACGAAGGCUCACCUACUGUACCCACAAAAAAAAAGUCUGCAUAUCUCUUUAACUUCACAGACCUUCAUCAAGAAAGAGGCAAAGGAGUGAAGCAGACGAAAUAUCAGAAGAAGAGCAACAGGAGGGAGAGCGAAGUGAAGUAGAAGAUCCUGAAAAAGUCGUGGCGGACGUCAGGGAAGAAUCCUUCAAGAGGCUGCUGAGAUGGUGUCCAGUGAGACUGGACCACCCACUUCCAUCACUGACGACUUGUAAAGACAUCAGUCAGCGCCAUGCUUAGUACUGUCAGGACAGAUGGCGAAGGAGACAGUACCAGAUGCGUAUAAGUGACGCCGUCGGAGCCUUCCCACGGAAGAGAUGGUUGACAUCUACAUGGAGCGACAGAGCUGGACAAGCAACCUCCCCAAAGCUUGGGAUGUUCUAAAGGCUUGAAAACCUCCGCAGUCGUGAAGAAAGCACGGACGCUUUCCGAACUUUGAGGCAAAGGUGGCCUCUCAGGACUGGGAAGGGCUAGUCGCCGUCGAGGAUCAAGCGAAAGGGGGGAUUCGCCUUAAAGACCACUCAAGUCUUUAAAAAAGGAGAGUUUGUCUGCGACUAUCAUGGAGUCUUGAUGGAUGGGAAAGAAGGAUAGGUGCAGCGCUCCAUCACCGACGGGAAGUGCUACAUCUACUUCUUUAGGCACGAAGAAAAAAAAAUGUGUGUGAAUGCUACGAAGGCUCACCCACUGUACCCACAAAAAAAAAUCUGCAUAUCUCUUUAACUUCACAGACCUUCAUCAAGAAAGAGGCAAAGGAGUGAAGCAGACGAAAUAUCAGAAGAAGAGCAACAGGAGGGAGAGCGAAGUGAAGUAGAAGAUCCUGAAGAAGUCGUGGCGGACGUCAGGGAAGAAUCCUUCAAGAGGCUGCUGAGAUGGUGUCCAGUGAGACUGGACCACCCACUUCCAUCACUGACGACUAGUAAAGACAUCAAUCAGCGCCAUGCUUAGUACUGUCAGGACAGAUGGCAAAGGAGACAGUACCAGAUGCCUAUAAGUGACGCCGUCGAACACUUCAGGAGCCUUCCCACGGAAGAGAUGGUUGACAUCUACAUGGAGCGACAGAGCUGGACAAGCAACCUCCCCAAAGCUUGGGAUGUUCUAAAGGCUUGGAAACCUCCGCAGUCGUGAAGAAAGCACGGACGCUUUCCGAACUUUGAGGCAAAGGUGGCCUCUCAGGACUGGGAAGGGCUAGUCGCUGUCGAGGAUCAAGCGAAAGGGGGGAUUCGCCUUAAAGACCACUCAAGUCUUUAAAAAAGGAGAGUUUGUCUGCGACUAUCAUGGAGUCUUGAUGGA